UGUUAGUCACGUGACGGGGGAUAAUUACUUUGAUUGGCCGAGAGUGUUAUAUAAACCGCCUUUGCGCUGGAUGAGGUACAACUUGAGGAUUUUCUCAGAAGGCUGCUCAUCAUCGUUCAAAUGGCAUCAAAAACACUUCUCGUGUGUCUACUCGUGACCUUCAUGGUCUUGUCUUUCUACACACAAGAAAGCUCCGCAGGCCCACCACAAGGAUUACGGUGGGGCAAGAGAUGGGAGAACCCCUCCGAGAAACAAGUCAGAGAAAACGCUGAGAGAGAAGUACAGGAUUUCAAGGAUUACUUCAAGAAGAAAUACAACAGAGAUCUUGAUAUUUAAAUGAAGAAAUCAACAGCAAGAUUUCACCAACAAUAGAGUCGUCACGCGUUAUUGCAAUCGUUGUGUGUCACACAUACAUUACCCAUUCCUUUGUCACGCCAGCAGGUGUGACGUCAUACCCCAACCCUACAAAGACUGGAUUGGACCUGAAUAAUCGAAUGAUCAAAAAUGUAUUUAUGUAAGAAAACACGUAGUUUAGAAAUUAGCCAGAAGAGAACUAUUGAAUGAAUACAAGCUAAUAAAAGCUUAUUUAAAAAGAAAAA